AAUAGAUACCCGGGUAGUCCACGCCGUAAACGAUGGAUACUAGCUGUUGGGCGCAAGUUCAGUGGCUAAGCGAAAGUGAUAAGUAUCCCACCUGGGGAGUACGUUCGCAAGAAUGAAACUCAAAGGAAUUGACGGGGGCCCGCACAAGCGGUGGAGCAUGUGGUUUAAUUCGAUGAUACGCGAGGAACCUUACCAAGGCUUAAAUGUAGAUUGACCGGUUUUGGAAACAGAUCUUUCGCAAGACAAUUUACAAGGUGCUGCAUGGUUGUCGUCAGCUCGUGCCGUGAGGUGUCAGGUUAAGUCCUAUAACGAGCGCAACCCCUGUUGUUAGUUGCCAGCGAGUCAAGUCGGGAACUCUAACAAGACUGCCAGUGCAAACUGUGAGGAAGGUGGGGAUGACGUCAAAUCAUCACGGCCCUUACGCCUUGGGCUACACACGUGCUACAAUGGCCGGUACAGAGAGCAGCCGACGUGGGUGACCAGGAGCGAAUCUAUAAAACCGGUCACAGUUCGGAUCGGAGUCUGCAACUCGACUCC
rnacentral:rRNA from 1 species